GUGAGGAAUAUUGGUCAAUGGACGGAAGUCUGAACCAGCCAUGCCGCGUGAAGGAUGAAGGCGUUCUGCGUUGUAAACUUCUUUUAUUUAGGAAGAAACCACCGAUUUCUAUUGGUGUUGACGGUAUUAAAUGAAUAAGCACCGGCUAACUCCGUGCCAGCAGCCGCGGUAAUACGGAGGGUGCGAGCGUUAUCCGGAUUUACUGGGUUUAAAGGGUGCGCAGGCGGUCUUAUAAGUCCGGGGUGAAAUACUACAGCUCAACUGUAGAACUGGCUUGGAUACUAUAGGACUUGAAUCGAGUAUAGGUCAGCGGAAUACAACAUGUAGCGGUGAAAUGCAUAGAUAUGUUGUGGAACACCGAUUGCGAAGGCAGCUGACUGGGCUUGAAUUGACGCUCAGGCACGAAAGCGUGGGUAGCGAACAGGAUUAGAAACCCCUGUAGUCC
rnacentral:rRNA from 1 species